rnacentral:rRNA from 1 species
UACAGAGGUCUCAAGCGUUGUUCGGAUUCAUUGGGCGUAAAGGGUGCGUAGGUGGCGUGGUAAGUCGGGUGUGAAAUUUCGGAGCUUAACUCCGAAACUGCAUUCGAUACUGCUGUGCUUGAGGACUGGAGAGGAGACUGGAAUUUACGGUGUAGCAGUGAAAUGCGUAGAGAUGUGGAGGAACACCAGUGGCGAAGGCGGCUUUUUGGUCUGUAACUGACGCUGAGGCGCGAAAGCGUGGGGAGCAAACAGG